rnacentral:rRNA from 1 species
CGGGACGGGUGAGUAAUGUCUGGGAAACUGCCUGAUGAAGGGGGAUAACUACUGGAAACGGUAGCUAAUACCGCAUAACGUCGCAAGACCAAAGAGGGGGACCUUCGGGCCUCUUGCCAUCGGAUGUGCCCAGAUGGGAUUAGCUAGUAGGUGGGGUAACGGCUCACCUAGGCGACGAUCCCUAGCUGGUCUGAGAGGAUGACCAGCCACACUGGAACUGAGACACGGUCCAG